AUUGAACGCUGGCGGCAGGCCUAACACAUGCAAGUCGAGCGGAUGAAGGGAGCUUGCUCCUGGAUUCAGCUGCGGACGGGUGAGUAAUGCCUAGGAAUCUGCCUGGUAUAGGGGGAUAACGUCCGGUAACGGGCGCUAAUACCGCAUACGUCCUGAGGGAGAAAGUCGUGGAUCUUCGGACCUCGCGCUAUCAGCUGAGCCUAGGUCGGAUUAGCUAGUUGGUGGGGUAAAGGCCUACCAAGGCGACGAUCCGUAACUGGUCUGAGAGGAUGAUCAGCCACACUGGAACUGAGACACGGUCCAGACUCCUACGGGAGGCAGCAGUGGGGAAUAUUGGGCAAUGGGCGAAAGCCUGACGCAGCAAUGCCGCGUGAGUGAAGAAGGUCUUCGGAUUGUAAAACACUUUUAGUUGGGAGGAAGGGAAGUAAGUUUAUCUAUUCAUGUUUUGACGUUACCAACAGAAUAAGCACCGGCUAACUUCGUG
rnacentral:rRNA from 1 species